CUUGGCCUGAAAUUCCACCAUUAGAGUAAAAUUCCUCUGGCUUGUGAGGAAUGGGUCCAGCUGAGGCAGGGGGUGAAGGGUGAUGGGCACGGCACUCCAGAGGUUGUGCAGCUCGGUGGCCCUUAGGUGACAUUUGAACAGAGACCAGGACAAUGGGAGAGAGGGAGUCAUGUGGGGCUCAGGAAUGGUGUGCAGAUGGAAGGAACAGCAUGUACGAAGGCCUGAGGCAGGACAUCCUUCUGUUUAGAGAACUAGGAGCCGAUGCCAACCUGGAGGGAGAGGGAGAGGGCUAGGAUAGCUGGGAAGAUAAUUACAUGGCUGUGCAGAAAGCUGAAGGAGGUGUUAGUUGGAUGUGGGAGUCAAAAGGAGUCCAGGCCACUUUCUCUUUUUAUCAAACUGGAGAAACACACCUCCUUUCCAUUUUAAUGUCUCUGGAAUCAGGAUGCUCCUCACCUGCAGUGGCAGCUCAUAUUUGAUGAAAUACGGUAAUUGCAAAGCCGGUUCAAGAAGCAAAGGUUUAGCCCUUGAGUGGAGCCCUUGAAGAGUUGCUGCUGUACUCAUGGUUGGUGGCACCGAGAGAACAUGGACCUUGAUCACUCAGAGUUAAGGAGUGAUUCAGAGAGUCAGACUCCAAAAGUGAAGAAGUUUAGGACAUUCUGUAAUCCACCCAUUUCACUCGUGUUUCCUUUGUUUACGUGUGCCCGGAGUGUUCAUAAGAAUCUAAAUAAGUCUCGCAGAGCUCUUUUGGCAAGUAUCAAAUACAAACUAAGGGAUACGCAGGCCCCGCGGUGGAGGAUUCGCGCUUCCUUUCUCAGAGGCACAGGUUGGUGGAGAGCCUCAGGACUCGGGCUUAGACCCUAGUUCUGCGACUUAGCACCUGUGUGACCUGAUACCUGCUCCUCCCCUGUAGAAACAUCAGAGAGAGGCACACCCCACCACACACACGGAGACACACGCAGAGAUGCACCUGAGGCACACAUGCACACAUAAAACCACACAGACACGCACACACACACAGACAAAACCACACAGACAAGCACACACAGACACAGACAAAACCACAAACACACACAGACAAAACCACAGACAUGUGCACACACACAGACAAAACCACACAGACACGCACAGACACAGACAAAACCACACACGCACACACAGACAAAAGCACACAGAGACACGUGCACACACACAGACAAAACCACACAGACACACACAGACACAGACACGCACACACACACAGACAAAACCACACAGAGACACGUGCACACACAGACAAAACCACACAGACAUACACACACACACACACAGACAAAACCACACAGAGACACAAACACACACACAGACAAAACCACACAGGGACACACACACACAAAACUACACAGGAACACACACACACACACACAUAGCCACAGCACCGCCUGGCACCUGGAGUCCUGGCCGGCACAAGGUCGGUGCUCAGUCAGUAUCUGCUGAGUGACUGAGGAAGUCAGCACUGCCCCUCAUGUGCCACAGUGGGAGGCACUGGGGGAGAGUCCCAACGCCUGUCUCAGGUGGGAGGCCCUAGAGGCGCAGCCCCAGGUGAGGACCUGCGUGCAGGCACCGUGGGAGUGCCCGGCCGGGCGGGCUUUGGGUGCAGAAGCAGGGCAGGCUAGGGACCGGAGGAAGCCUGGCCAGGGCCCCAUUUCAGCCCCAGCCCAGCCCCAGCCUGAUUCGUGGGCAGGCAAGCGGGAGGCAGUCUUCAGGCAAGGGAGCUGGGCCUCUGACCCCGCAGCCUCAGGCCGCAGAGUGACCCAGAGGGACUUUGGCCAGGUGUCUGCUGUAGCCUGAAGGCAGCCCCCGGAAGGGGUGUUUGCAGGUGCUGGCCACGGGAACGACAGCACCGAGAGAUCCGUGGGGACCUCUGUGAGUUACCAGCGUUAUCCACAACAUACACGAUGUACACGCUUUGGGGAAGGAAAAGCAUCUUUUUUUUUUUUUAAUUUUCUUUCUUUCUUUAUUUUUUUGAGAUGGGGUCUUGCUCUCUCGCCCAGGCUGGAGUGCAGUGGCAUGAUCAUGGCUCACUGCAGCCUCGACCUCAGCAGCUCACGUAAUCCUGC
rnacentral:lncRNA from 1 species